GACGAACGCUGGCGGCGUGCUUAACACAUGCAAGUCGAGCGGUAAGGCCCUUUCGGGGGUACACGAGCGGCGAACGGGUGAGUAACACGUGGGUGACCUGCCCUCAGCUCUGGGAUAAGCCUGGGAAACCGGGUCUAAUACUGGAUAUGACUCCAUGACGCAUGUUGUGGGGUGGAAAGCCUUGUGCGGCUGAGGAUGGGCCCGCGGCCUAUCAGCUUGUUGGUGGGGUGANGGCCUACCAAGGCGACGACGGGUAGCCGGCCUGAGAGGGCGACCGGCCACACUGGGACUGAGACACGGCCCAGACUCCUACGGGAGGCAGCAGUGGGGAAUCUUGCGCAAUGGGCGAAAGCCUGACGCAGCAACGCCGCGUGGGGAUGACGGUCUUCGG
rnacentral:rRNA from 1 species